ACCGUCUGCGCAUGUGCGCACGCUUUCAGGGCAGCCCUAGCUGCUGGUCCAGCACCUCUAUGGUCUCGCCCUAGAGCUUUGCUAUUUGGGGGCAGUGGCCGCAGUCGUGUGGGUAGCAGGCCCCAAGUGACAGCAGCAUGGAGGAAUUCGAUUCCGAAGACUUCUCCACGUCGGACGAGGAUGAGGACUACGUGCCGUCGGGUGGAGAGUACAGUGAAGAUGAUGUCAAUGAAUUAGUGAAGGAAGACGAAGUGGAUGGUGAAGAGCAGGCUGAGAAAACCAAAGGGAAAAGAAGGAAGGCUCAGAGCAUUCCAGCCAGAAAGAGAAAACAAAGUGGCCUCUUGUUAGAAGACGAGGAGGACGGCAAGGAAGAAUCUGGAGGUAGUAGUAGUGGAGAAGAUGAAGAAGAGCAAGGAGGCCUUGGGUCCGAGAAUGCAAGGAAGAAGAAGGAAGAUGAACUGUGGGCCAGCUUCCUUAAUGAUGUGGGACCAAAGUCAAAAGCAGCUCCAAGUUCACAAGUUAAGGCAGCAGAGGAGACUGAAGAGACUAGUUCAAAUAAACUGUUGACGAAAGCAGAUGAGCUGGAGAAACCUAAAGAAUCAGAAAAAGUGAAAAUUACCAAGGUGUUUGACUUCGCUGGUGAAGAAGUGAGGGUGACUAAGGAAGUAGAUGCUGCGUCCAAGGAAGCCAAGUCUUUCCUCAAGCAAACUGAGAAGGAAAACCCUCAGGCUGUCGUCACUUCAGCAGUGCCACCACUCCCUGCGGGGUCGGGGAUAAAAAGGUCAAGUGGCAUGAGCAGCCUUUUGGGGAAAAUUGGAGCAAAAAAACAGAAAAUGAGCACCCUUGAGAAGUCUAAACUGGACUGGGAGAGCUUCAAGGAGGAAGAAGGGAUUGGUGAAGAACUGGCUAUCCAUAACCGAGGGAAAGAAGGGUACAUUGAACGGAAAGCUUUUCUGGAUCGAGUGGACCACAGGCAGUUUGAAAUUGAGCGAGAUCUCAGACUGAGCAAAAUGAAACCUUGACAUUCUGGGGAGAAUUAGUAGCAGCUUAAUCCUAUUGACAAUCUCGGAAAACACACUCCGCACUUCUCACUGUGACGUCAGAGUCGAGGGGCAGGACCCACCAGCAAGCCAGGCCGCCUGAACUGGACAUGGCUGUUCUCUGAACAAGUGGCUGUUUCUCAUAGGCAUAAACCAGACAGAGGUGCCAGGAGUCUUCAGCCCUGCUGGCUACGCCCUGUGCCCUGAAUGCAGUGACUGUAGCAUGGAGGCAGGGAACUACACAGGAGGACACACGUGGGACAUGUGAGGCAGGCACGGGCCACCCAGGAGCUUUUCCUCUUGAAAACUGUCAGCAUAUAUUCCUGCUGGAUCUGUUCUGUACUCAGAUUCUGCUGUCUGAGCAUUCCCAUUGUCGGGACAGGGUCCAUGAACACAGCUGUGUGAGGAGAUUUCUGAGACCUUGUGGAAAAACUCCAAGCAAACGAGACAAGAGUCUUGUGAUCUCGGUUCCUCCAUUACAUGGGUUGUUCUUGGAAUGUGCUUCUCUGACCCUCCCAGGUGUGGUGGACAGGAGUGAGUUCACUUCAGAUUAUUAUACUGGCUAUUAUUUGUUCAUAUGCCUCUAUGGAAAAACAUGUUUUUGCCUCAUGCGGCUUGUCUUGUCACUGAGACUCGGGUGACUCUUCUUAACCCUCAGAGUAUAAAUUGUCUGAUGCUCUGAAUAAAGCUGGCUAUUGCAUGA